rnacentral:misc_RNA from 1 species
AGAAGAAGAAGAAGGAGAAUGAGAGUUGGGAAGUAUGAGUUGGGGAAAACUCUUGGAGAAGGCAAUUUCGGCAAGGUGAAGUUGGCCGCCGACAUCCGUACCGGCCGUCGUUACGCCGUCAAGAUCCUUGAUAAGACCAAGAUUCUCCAUCUCAACUUCUCCGAUCAGAUUAAACGUGAAAUAAGUACUCUCAAGCUCCUCAGGCAUCCGAAUGUUGUAAGACUUUACGAGGUUUUAGCUAGUAAGACGAAGAUUUAUAUGGUUUUGGAGUGCGCCUCUGGUGGAGAAUUGUUUGAUAGAAUUGAAUCGAAGGGUAAAAUGGAUGAAGUUGAAGGUCGGAGGCUCUUCCAGCAGCUUAUUGAUGGUCUUAGCUACUGCCAUGACAAAGGAGUUUACCACAGGGAUCUCAAGUUGGAAAACGUGCUUGUUGAUGCUAAGGGAAAUAU